rnacentral:tRNA from 1 species
AAAAAGUAGCUUAAAAUUAGAGCAUCCGGCCUACAACCAGAAGAUAUUAACACAAUCUUUUUGA